ACGCUCGACACCUACGGAGGCAGCAGUGGGGAAUAUUGGGCAAUGGGCGCAAGCCUGACCCAGCAACGCCGCGUGAAGGAAGAAGGCUUUCGGGUUGUAAACUUCUUUUCUCAGGGACGAAGAAAGUGACGGUACCUGAGGAACAAGCCACGGCUAACUACGUGCUAGCAGCCGCGGUAAUCUGAGCGGGCUGGCAAGGC
rnacentral:rRNA from 1 species